UACGUAGGGGGCAAGCGUUGUCCGGAUUUAUUGGGCGUAAAGAGCGUGUAGGCGGCCAGACAGGUCAGCUGUGAAAACUCGAGGCUCAACCUCGAGACGUCGGUUGAAACCGUCUGGCUAGAGUCCGGAAGAGGAGAGUGGAAUUCCCGGUGUAGCGGUGAAAUGCGCAGAUAUCGGGAAGAACACCCGUGGCGAAGGCGGCUCUCUGGGGACGGUACUGACGCUGAGACGCGAAAGCGUGGGGAGCGAACAGG
rnacentral:rRNA from 1 species